rnacentral:misc_RNA from 1 species
GAUGAAGAACGCAGCGAAAUGCGACAAGUAAUGUGAAUUGCAGAAUUCAGUGAAUCAUCGAAUCUUUGAACGCACAUUGCGCCCCUUGGUAUUCCGAGGGGCAUGCCUGUUCGAGCGUCAUUUUGACCACUCCCGCUUGCGGGGUCUUGGGCCUUCGCCUCUGGGCGGGCCUUAAAAUCAGUGGCGGUGCCGUCCGGCUCUAAGCGUAGUAAAUCUCCUCGCUAUAGGGUUCCGGAGGGAUGCUGGCCAACAACCCCCAACUUUUAAGGUUGACCUCGGAUCAGGUAGGGAUACCCGCUGAACUUAAGCAUAUCAAUAAGCGGAGGA